UACAGAGGUGGCAAGCGUUGUUCGGAAUUACUGGGCGUAAAGGGCGCGUAGGCGGCCUUCUAAGUCAGACGUGAAAUCCCCCGGCUUAACCUGGGAACUGCGUCUGAUACUGGAAGGCUUGAGUGCGGGAGAGGGAUGUGGAAUUCCAGGUGUAGCGGUGAAAUGCGUAGAUAUCUGGAGGAACACCGGUGGCGAAGGCGGCAUCCUGGACCGACACUGACGCUGAGGCGCGAAAGCGUGGGGAGCAAACAGG
rnacentral:rRNA from 1 species